AUUGAACGCUGGCGGCAGGCCUUACACAUGCAAGUCGAACGAGUGGCGCACGGGUGAGUAAUACAUCGGAACGUGUCCUAUCGAGGGGGAUAACUGCUCGAAACAGCAGCUAAUACCGCAUACGAUCGGAGCGGCCGAGGCGCGAUUGGCUAGUUGGUGAGGUAAAGGCUCACCCAGGCGACGAUCGGUAGCUGGUCUGAGAGGACGACCAGCCACACUGGAACUGAGACACGGUCCCGACUCCUACGGGAGGCAGCAGUGGGGAAUUUUGGACAAUGGGCGCAACCCUGAUGCAGCCAUGCCGCGUGUAGGAAGAAGGUCUUCGGAUUGUAAACGACUUUCGGCGGGGAAGCGGUACCCGAAGAAGAAGCACCGGCUAACUCCGUGCCAGCAGCCGCGGUAAUUC
rnacentral:rRNA from 1 species